UCCGAGUUGUCCCCGGCAGUCCUCUUAGAGUCCCCGGCAUUACCCGUUGGCAACAUGGGACAGGGGUUGCGCUCGUUGCGGGACUUAACCCAACAUCUCACGACACGAGCUGAGGACAGCCAUGCACCACCUGUGUAGGACCCCGAAGGACACCGUAUCUCUACGGCUUUUCCCUACAUGUCAAACCCAGGUAAGGUUCUUCGCGUUGCCUCGAAUUAAGCAACAUGCUCCGCCGCUUGUGCGAGCCCCCGUCAAUUCCUUUGAGUUUUAGCCUUGCGGCCGUACUCCCCAGGCGGGGCACUUAAUGCGUUAGCUACGGCACGGAACCCGUUGAAUAGGUCCCACACCUAGCACCCAACGUUUACGGCUGGGACUAA
rnacentral:misc_RNA from 1 species